rnacentral:rRNA from 1 species
GUGAGGAAUAUUGGUCAAUGGGCGGGAGCCUGAACCAGCCAAGUCGCGUGAAGGAAGAAGGAUCUAUGGUUCGUAAACUUCUUUUGCAGGGGAAUAAAGUGCAGGACGUGUCCUGUUUUGUAUGUACCCUGAGAAUAAGGAUCGGCUAACUCCGUGCCAGCAGCCGCGGUAAUACGGAGGAUCCGAGCGUUAUCCGGAUUUAUUGGGUUUAAAGGGUGCGUAGGUGGUUUGAUACGUCAGCGGUGAAAGUUUGCAGCUUAACUGUAAAAAUGCCGUUGAAACUGUCGGACUUGAGUGUAAAUGAGGUAGGCGGAAUGCGUGGUGUAGCGGUGAAAUGCAUAGAUAUCACGCAGAACUCCGAUUGCGAAGGCAGCUUACUAAGCUACAACUGACACUGAAGCACGAAAGCGUGGGGAUCAAACAGGAUUAGAUACCCUAGUAGUCC